GGCUUCUUCUGCCUCUGCGUAAUCAGCUGCAGAGAUAUAUUAGAGAUAUAUUGCUCUCCUGUUGUCAUUGUCCCCCAAAGUCCCCAGGAGCUGUAGCAGAUAGUUGGGCACUGCAGGGCUGUGCCAGCAGGACAGGAGGCUCAGGAUGGGGACAGAAGGACUCCUAUUCCCUCAGGUGCUGUGGCUCCUCCUCUGGGUGCAGCUGUGCAGAGGGGCAGCAGAGGUGAGGCUGGCGGAUGGCAGCGGGCGCUGUGAUGGGAGAGUGGAGGUGAAACACCAGAACCAGUGGGGGACCUGUGUGUGAUUACCAGCUGGGAUGAGAAGGAUGCAGCGGUGGUUUGUAAGCAGCUGGGCUGUGGGUCAGUAAUCAGUGCUGUACGGAGUAAAAGAUUUGUGCUAGGAUCUGGCCCCAUUUGGAUGGAUGAUGUCGGCUGUCGAGGCACCGAGUCUGCCCUGUCUGACUGCACACACAGAGGAUGGGGUAACAUUACUGCACACACAGUCAGGAUGCUGGAGUUACAUGUACAGGAUUUGUCCGUCUGGUUGGAGGGGACAACCGCUGCUCAGGACGAGUGGAGAUCAAUGACAGGGGAUGGGUGGAAAUCUGUCUGUGACUCACACUUUAGUGCCAAAGCUGCUGAUGUGGUCUGCAGAGAUCUUCAGUGUGGCAGAGCCCUGUCCGUCACCAGAGCAAGUCCCUCUGGAGAAGGGACCGGUCCCAUCUGGGACAGAGAGCUGCAGUGUGUGGGGAAUGAAUCCACCCUCUCCUCCUGCCCCAUGGGGACUCCUCAGGACCAGCCCUGCACCCAGACAAGCACUGCUGCUGUCAGCUGCACACGUAAGGGCUCAGGGAAGGCUGUUGGAUACUGAGUGUGUGCCAGGGACAGGGACAGGGCUGUGUCGAGUGUGAGGUCAGGAGGGUGAUGUGGUAUUCUGUAGCCCUAAGGCAGUGCUGAAGGAGGAGGCUUCAUGUUGUCCCUUUGGCCUCUCCUCCGUCUCCUGAGGGAACGAGAGCACA